rnacentral:rRNA from 1 species
GAUGAACGCUGGCGGCGUGCCUAAUACAUGCAAGUCGAGCGAACAGACGAGGAGCUUGCUCCUCUGACGUUAGCGGCGGACGGGUGAGUAACACGUGGAUAACCUACCUAUAAGACUGGGAUAACUUCGGGAAACCGGAGCUAAUACCGGAUAAUAUAUUGAACCGCAUGGUUCAAUAGUGAAAGACGGUUUUGCUGUCACUUAUAGAUGGAUCCGCGCCGCAUUAGCUAGUUGGUAAGGUAACGGCUUACCAAGGCAACGAUGCGUAGCCGACCUGAGAGGGUGAUCGGCCACACUGGAACUGAGACACGGUCCAGACUCCUACGGGAGGCAGCAGUAGGGAAUCUUCCGCAAAGGGCGAAAGCCUGACGGAGCAACGCCGCGUGUGUGAUGAAGGUCUUCGGAUCGUAAAACUCUGUUAUUAGGGAAGAACAAAUGUGUAAGUAACUAUGCACGUCUUGACGGUACCUAAUCAGAAAGCCACGGCUAACUACGUG